AACGUAGGUCACAAGCGUUGUCCGGAAUUACUGGGUGUAAAGGGAGCGCAGGCGGGAGAACAAGUUGGAAGUGAAAUCCAUGGGCUCAACCCAUGAACUGCUUUCAAAACUGUUUUCCUUGAGUAGUGCAGAGGUAGGCGGAAUUCCCGGUGUAGCGGUGGAAUGCGUAGAUAUCGGGAGGAACACCAGUGGCGAAGGCGGCCUACUGGGCACCAACUGACGCUGAGGCUCGAAAGUGUGGGUAGCAAACAGG
rnacentral:rRNA from 1 species